rnacentral:lncRNA from 1 species
ACUAGACUGGUUCGGUAAUUCGGUUUUCCUGGACUGACUCGGUCAUCAACUAUUUAUCCCUGGAAUGAUUAGGUCAUCAGCUAUUUACCUCUGGACUAAGUCGUCAUCAGCUAUUUACUCUGGUUUACUCGUGGGCAUGGACUGGUUCGGAAAUCAACUCAUUUUGCCUGCACUGACUCUGUAAUUAAUCUAUUGUUUCUCCUGGGAUCGCCUGUUUUUCCCUGGCUCAGUUCUCAACUGUCUCCCCUGGGCUAACUGGACAUUGUUUUCCUUGGAGUGACUAACUGGGUCAUCAUCUGUUUCCACAGACUCAGUGGGGUCACUCCUUACAGGUCAUCUCAUCAUCCACUGUUUACCGUGGAGUGAUUUGUUUGCAGCCCGUUUUCACGCAGCGGAGGGGAUUUCCGUCUUUCCCUCAUCUGAUCCUGUCCCUGAACGGACUCGGUCAUCCACUGUGAGCCCUGGACUGACUCUGUUAUCCACUGCUCUUCCUGGGCGGAGGCUGAUGACGCUUCACCCUACUGGUUCUGGUUCUUAAAAGCGGGCUUCCGGGAACUUAAAACAAGGUGGUUCUAUAUUCACGUGGAUGAAAACACAGAGCGGUACCUGAGUUUCCCCUCAGAGGAGUUAUCCCAGUUUGCAUCCCAACCAAGAACAUACAGAGGUCUCUCCAAAGCCUGGACUUACGGGGACGUAAGACCGUGGGCCUCGACGCAAAGGACAAAGUUAGUGUCUUUAAUCUGCAUUCGGGGAAUUCUCCAUCCCGCACCGGCUGAGUCCAGAGAAACUGGAAAACGGAAAAAGAGAGCUAGGGGAGAACAUGCCGUGAGAGAGCGUCCGUCCGUAAGUCAGGGAAACUAGCGACUUCAUCGACACAGGCCAGGUGAGUCGGUUCCGGAUACAGGAGCAAUCUGGUUCUCACGGGGUUUUGCUGCUUCAUCUUGCUUAAGUGUCUACACAUAGUCUCCACGCAGAAUAUGAUGAG